rnacentral:rRNA from 1 species
GACGAACCGUGCAAACGUUGUUCGGAAUCACUGGGCUUAAAGGGCGCGUAGGCGGCUUGCCAAGUCAGGGGUGAAAUCUUUCGGCUUAACCGGAAAAGUGCCUCUGAUACUGGCGAGCUAGAGGGAGGUAGGGGCAUGUGGAACUUCCGGUGGAGCGGUGAAAUGCGUUGAUAUCGGAAGGAACACCGGUGGCGAAAGCGACGUGCUGGAUCUCUUCUGACGCUGAGGCGCGAAAGCCAGGGGAGCAAACGGG